AGGAGGCCCUGAGACAAAUCCCACAGGGACUGUGAAGGUGGCCCCGAUGGCACUUGGUCAGCAUUUCUGUAAGGCAGCUCAUUUCGGAGUUUCCUCUGUUGGACCUCAGACCAAAAGGCUUUGGCUUCCAAAGAGCAAUUAAACUGGAUCCAGAAACAUCACUGGGUAAAAUGCAUCAUGAGGUGCAGACCUCUUGGCUGACCACACUGACCUCUUAUGUAUGUGUGUGUAUAUAUCUAUAUAUAUAUAUAUAUAGAUAUAGAUAUAGAUAUUUGUGUCCAAUCUACCUCCUGUCUGCUUUUUUUUUCUGCAGCAAAGGUUCACUCUGAGCAUUUGGCUGCAAAAUACAUUGUAAAAUGUUGUUUUCUUGGAAUAAGUAUUUGAGGGCAUCUUCAACCUCCAUCAGGAAAGUAAAUCCCAGUAAAUAUUGAGCAGAGUAGCUUGAGUUAGCCAGACAGCUGCAGGUGCUUUAGCAGGAGUUUGAGAGCAGAAUUUCUUUCACCUGAGCUGGUCCUCUCCUAAUUAGUGAAAUUACAGGAAGGUUUGAGGGGAUGGAUAGAGAAUGCUGGUGUUGGGUUGCUGCUGAGAGCCAAGCUAUCUAGGAGGAAUGGCCCCUGGAGAACAGGAAACACAUUAGAGUGGUCAUCACUUUGCACCUGAGGUUGUAUGUAUAAGGCAUGGGAAUGGAGAGAGCCUGGUUUUGAUUGCAAAUGGAAGAAGCUAGAAAUACUGAAGCAGGGGACAACAAAUGUAAUGAAGAUAUUUACCUCUAGUCUCCUACAGGAUAAGCUUAGGCUGUGAUGCCAUUUUUGUUUUGUUUGUUCAAGUAAAAUGAAGGUUUGUCCCACUUGAAUUUAUCAGCCCUUCAGCAAGUGACUUAUGUGCAUCUGGUAGGACUGGACUGGCUUUGCAUCAGCCAUGUGGAUAGGAGGAAAAGAAAUGCCUUAUCCCUUUACAGUACUUGCUAUGCUGCUCAUUAGGUUCUAACUUUACUCUGCAGAACAAGAGAGUUCUUGAGUACUGACCUGUUCAAAAAGGCAUUGCCAAAGGCGUUGAGUUUCCUGAAUGGUUUUUUGGGAUCCACCACCAACGCGUUUCCAGGAACGAUUCCUUCCACAUCUCCUUGCAUCACUGCUAUAAAGGAGUCAGUUGUAGGCUCUGGUCCAAUCCUCAUCCCUGGGAAAUCCUGCUCCAGCAGGUACCUGUAAGUGAAAAAACAGGGUGUGGGCAUGAGCCAUGAGCUGCUAAGUCCUAAAUGAGUUGUACUGAAGAUUGCAGUGCAAUUAUGAAGCUCAAGAGCAUGGAUCCUUCCGAGACUAUUUUUAGCACUGUCACUCAAUUGUUUGAUAAAUGUCUUGGUAGCUUUUCUACUUAGGAUCUCAACACUGAAAGCUCAUUUCAGGUGGAUUAAGAAAUUAAGAUGAUUAUAGCUGCUGGGAAGAGAUUCUCAUCAUGUUGCAUCAUUUUAUGUACUUCAAUCCUCAAGACAUUUGGAGCAGACUCAGCACAGCAAAGUCAAACCAGCAGUUCACUGCAAUCACAGAGUUAAUCCUACUACACACUACUGUUAAACCACUACAAUCCUGAUAGUGGCUCUUGGUGCCACUAUCAAUUACUUGGCUGCUGCUCGUUUCAGCAGACUCAAACAACUAAUGUGCUUAGCCACCAGCCCACAUCAGCUGCUUAAACGCCAACUUCCCCAGCACUUGACUGAAGUCUCAGCCUCUGUCCUUGUGUGCUUCUGAAAUGCAGCCACAGGCCUGCACUACAAACUGCUCAAGCACACUGAGCACUACACACCUGGGUGGGGGAGUAUAUUCCAAGCUGUAUAUCAAGCCAGACAGCACACCGAGUACAGCUUCCCUUAUUAUUUCCUGAAGGUAGUUUGGCAAAUUUCAGGGAAAGAUAGUCACCCAUGGGGUUGUAGGGCUUUGAAUAGGACCCUGGCAGCACAUCCCAACUGACCCUGCCAAGUUCAGGGUGGGUCAAUGGUGUGUGCACGGGACAGUUCCCUUUGGCUCAUGAAGGUGCCAAAUGCCAUCACUGAGGCCUGGCCUGUUUGUGUGUGUGGGUGCAGGAAACCACCUGCUGAUGCUGUGCUGAAAACUUAGACUAGACCAUUAUGUGCAUGUGGCUUGCAGAAGGAGGCUAGAACUGGUCUAGCCCUCAGUAUGGGAUGGUGUCAGAAGUGACAAGUAGUAAGUUCUGGCUAGUUACAUGAAUAAAAAUACUACCAGACUAUGGAAGUUGGUAUAAUAAUGUGUUGCUUGUUGCCAGAGGGUAGUUGGCAUUCCCUCUUCCAUUGCCUUAACCUAAUCCUCAGUGGGUAGAAAGAUUAUUUCAGAAUUGCCAUGAUGUUAAAAGUAGAUUAUGGGGAUGUGGAAAUAGGAGAAGGACUGGAAAU